rnacentral:rRNA from 1 species
AGUGAACGCUGGCGGUAGGCCUAACACAUGCAAGUCGAACGGCAGCACAGUAAGAGCUUGCUCUUACGGGUGGCGAGUGGCGGACGGGUGAGGAAUACAUCGGAAUCUACUUUUUCGUGGGGGAUAACGUAGGGAAACUUACGCUAAUACCGCAUACGACCUACGGGUGAAAGCAGGGGAUCUUCGGACCUUGCGCGAUUGAAUGAGCCGCUGUCGGAUUAGCUAGUUGGCGGGGUAAAGGCCCGCCAAGGCGACGAUCCGUAGCUGGUCUGAGAGGAUGAUCAGCCACACUGGAACGGAGACACGGUCCAGAAUCCUACGGGAGGCAGCAGUGGGGAAUAUUGGACAAUGGGCGCAAGCCUGAUCCAGCCAUACCGCGUGGGUGAAGAAGGCCUUCGGGUUGUAAAGCCCUUUUGUUGGGAAAGAAAAGCAGCAGGUUAAUACCCCGCUGUUCUGACGGUACCCAAAGAAUAAGCACCGGCUAACUUCGUG